rnacentral:rRNA from 1 species
GAACGCUGGCGGCGUGCUUAACACAUGCAAGUCGAGCGAUGAAACACCAUCGGGUGUGAAUUAGCGGCGAACGGGUGAGGAACACGUGAGAAAUCUGCCUUCAACACUGGGAUAACUCCGGGAAACCGGGGCUAAUACCGGAUAUGAAAUCUGCGGGCAUCCGCGGAUUUGGAAAGUUUUUCGGUUGAAGAUGAUCUCGCGGCCUAUCAGCUUGUUGGUGAGGUAAUGGCUCACCAAGGCGACGACGGGUAGCCGGCCUGAGAGGGCGACCGGCCACACUGGGACCGAGACACGGCCCAGACUCCUACGGGAGGCAGCAGUGGGGAAUAUUGGGCAAUGGAGGAAACUCUGACCCAGCGACGCCGCGUGCGGGAUGAAGGC